AGGAAAUCAUCGAAAAGUUUCCCGCACUGAAGCUUCCUAAAAUAGUUGGUAUCUUCAAGCAUUGAAUUGACCAUAUUUAAUUGUAUGUGUAUUAUUUCAUUUAUGAUCAUCAAGUAUUUUGAGAUGACACUUUUUAUCCCUCCUUACAGCUUCUGUGGGAGAUGAAGGAGCAAUUCCUUGUAGAAGCUGAUUGCUAAUGGUCACAGAGUUGGAUCGAAUGGCAACGAAGAUGGUUCAAAGAGCAUCUAUGUGUGACCUAAAGGACUGCUGCCAAAUCAAUGCCUGCCUGGAUGAUUCAGACUCAUUAGGGAUGCAGCAAUUCUACUGCUGCCUUCCAUUUUCAGAGAGGACUCAUCCUUUCUAUACACUCUACUGGAGGAGCCAAGCGUGCCUACUCCAGCAAUCAUGCUCCAUAACACACACGAGGGGAACCCUUUGCAGGCACAAAGGAUAGUCCUAUACCUGGAUGGUAUACAGGUUUUGACUGAGGACAGCAGCAUGGACAAAUCAUAUGCUAUGAGUGCAUUAAUGUCACUCUAUAUUGUUUUUGCUGUCCAGUACCCAAAGGAACUGAGAAAAACUCUUAUUUUCAUUGAAAGAUUUGUGUUGGGGAUCAAGGACCACAGUGUUGUACCCAUUUCAGUGAAGAGACUAUACAACUGUGUCGGAAGUGGGGAGUAGUGAGUAGAUGUGUUGCAGCAUGGGAUUUCAUACUUUAUGUUCUUGUUAAUGGUCAAAUUCCUGCUGCUGCCCUUUGUUUGUACAUAUUGAUAAAAAAAAUAUCCCUUAUUUAAUACAUAUUUUGGACCAAUACAUUUUGUUUGAUUUUGGCAUAGUGACGUCUCUAGAUUUCCAUUAUUGUUACAAUACGUAACAUUUUGAGUACUUGUUACAUAACACUGAAAAGUAUUUCAACAUUAUUUAAAUCAAUGUGAAAACUUUGUGGGAUUCCCUCACUUUCUCAUGAUUCUGUUCCACUGUCACAAUUAGUACAUACAGUAUGUACACUGAUUCUUUUCAUUGGACCAUGCAUUAUUUUAUUGUUUGUAGAUAGCUUACAAUAAGGCGCAGUAAGUGCACCUUGGAUUGAUUGAACUAAAACUAUUUUGUGUCUCUUUCUGCCAUGUCACCAUUGCUGGAGAUUUAUUUACACAAAUUCACCU